GGCCUCCAUGGCGACAGGGUGACCACUAUACCCCUGCACCUAUGUGACAUCAGAUGCCUAGGGCUGAGGAAGUGCUUUGAGAAUGAACAGGCCUGACUAAGAUGAAAGACUUGACGUCUGGUCUCUAGGCCUCAUCUGGCUGUGUGACCAUGGGUCCUCACUUAUUGAAAUGGAUGUCAGGAUCAGGCAAAGGAGAUUGAGUGGGCAUUUCUAUUGCCGGUGGAGCUGUUGGAGAACAAUAGGAAUAUUAGGCACUGUCCACUGUCAGUCCCCCGAGCUGGUAUCCCAGGGCUUCAUCUGAAAUUCACACCAGGUUCUUGUUGGUCAUUUGUUUGCCCCAGUGUUCGUCCAGCAAAGCUUCGCGUUCCCUCAUUGAGUUCUUGGUGAAAACAAGGUACAGUCCCUGACUUUUGGAGCUCAGAGUCUGAUGGGGAUGAACACCUUGGCUUACGGGGACUUGGGAGCUCUUACAAUGACAAUGAAUACACUAUGAGGGGCAGCCAGCUAGCCUCACCCGGAUAAAUAGCUUCUCAGUUCAUUGGCACAGCGGGCCCAAGGGAAGCUUUGCUGAGGUUUAAAUUAGAAUUUAUUUAGUUUUUUUUUUUUUUUU
rnacentral:lncRNA from 12 species